rnacentral:rRNA from 1 species
GAUGAACGCUGGCGGCGUGCCUAAUACAUGCAAGUCGAGCGAACGGACGAGGAGCUUGCUUUUCUGAUGUUAGCGGCGGACGGGUGAGUAACGCGUGGAUAACCUACCUAUCAGACUGGGAUAACUUCGGGACACCGGAGCUAAUACCAUAUAAUAUUUUGAACCGCAUGGUUCGAAAGUGAAAGACGGUCUUUCUGUCUCUUAUAGAUGGAUCCGCGCUGCAUUAGAUAGUUGGUAAGUUAACGGGUUACCAAGGCAACGAGGCAUAGCCGACCUGAGAGAGGGAUAGGCCACACUGGAACGUAGACAGGGUCCAGACUCCUACGGGAGGGAGCAGUAGGGAAUCGGACGCAAUGGGGGAAAGCCUGACGGAGCAAGGCCGAGUGAGUGAUGAAGGUCUUCGGAUCGUAAAAAUGUGUUAUUAGGGAAGAACAGCUGUGGCAGGAACUGUGCACAUCGUGACGGUAACGGAUAAGAAAGCAACGGCUAACUACGUG